UACGUAGGGUGCAAGCGUUGUCCGGAGUUAUUGGGCGUAAAGAGCUCGUAGGCGGUUCGUCGCGUCGGCUGUGAAAUCCCGAGGCUCAACCUCGGGUCUGCAGUCGAUACGGGCGGACUGGAGUUCGGCAGGGGAGACUGGAAUUCCUGGUGUAGCGGUGAAAUGCGCAGAUAUCAGGAGGAACACCGGUGGCGAAGGCGGGUCUCUGGGCCGAUACUGACGCUGAGGAGCGAAAGCGUGGGGAGCAAACAGG
rnacentral:rRNA from 1 species